CAGUCGCCGCGGUAAUACGUAGGGUGCAAGCGUUAAUCGGAAUUACUGGGCGUAAAGCGUGCGCAGGCGGUUCGGAAAGAAAGAUGUGAAAUCCCAGGGCUCAACCUUGGAACUGCAUUUUUAACUACCGGACUAGAGUAUGUCAGAGGGAGGUGGAAUUCCACGUGUAGCAGUGAAGUGCGUAGAUAUGUGGAGGAACACCGAUGGCGAAGGCAGCCUCCUGGGAUAAUACUGACGCUCAUGCACGAAAGCGUGGGGAGCAAACAGGAUUAGAUACCCCUGUAGUCCCUGUCUCUUAUAC
rnacentral:rRNA from 1 species